rnacentral:rRNA from 1 species
CUCCUACGGGAGGCAGCAGUAAGGAAUAUUGGUCAAUGGACGGAAGUCUGAACCAGCCAUGCCGCGUGCAGGAAGACGGCCCUAUGGGUUGUAAACUGCUUUUGCAGGGGAAUAAACCUCUUUACGUGUAAAGAGCUGAAUGUACUCUGAGAAUAAGGAUCGGCUAACUCCGUGCCAGCAGCCGCGGUAAUACGGAGGAUCCAAGCGUUAUCCGGAUUUAUUGGGUUUAAAGGGUGCGUAGGUGGCCUGUUAAGUCAGGGGUGAAAGACGGUAGCUCAACUAUCGCAGUGCCCUUGAUACUGAUGGGCUUGAAUGAACUAGAGGUAGGCGGAAUGUGACAAGUAGCGGUGAAAUGCAUAGAUAUGUCACAGAACACCAAUUGCGAAGGCAGCUUACUAUGGUUUUAUUGACACUGAGGCACGAAAGCGUGGGGAUCAAACAGGAUUAGAUACCCCUGUAGUCUU